rnacentral:tRNA from 1 species
GGAAGGAUGGCCGAGUGGUUUAAGGCAGCGGUCUUGAAAACCGCCGUGGGGGAAACCCCACCGUGAGUUCGAAUCUCACUCCUUCCG